UGAUAGAUCAAGGCCAUUUAAGUCCAACCAAGUUUUUAAAUUUAUCAGCGGUUGUGUUAUAGAAGAACUAGCUUUUUCAAUAGAAAUAUCACGACAGUAAAUUAAUAGAUCAUCAGCAUACUGAAGAACAUUUACACAAUUAAGUGAUGAUUUUAAAUCGUGUGUAUAAAUAUUAUACAAUAUUGGGCUAAGUACUGAUCCCUGGGGGAGGCCCUUUGAAACAAGUCGAGUAAUUGACUUCCUGUCAUCUAGUUUCAGGAUUAUGUAUCUUUCGGAAAGCAUGUAUAUGAUAAAAUUUGUUAAUAGCAGAGGUAUAUUAAGUUGUAAAAGCUUACUCUUUAAAAUACUUAUAACGACAUUAUCAUAGGCACAAUUUAUAUCUAAGAACGCAGCUAUUACUGAUUUAUUAUUUGAAAAUGAUAAUUGAAUAUCAGAAAUGAAUAUACUUAAGCUAUCAAUAGUACUUUUCCCACGUCUGAAACCGAAUUGGGAUUCACAUAAUAGACCGUUAUGCUCAACAAACCAUUCUAAACGAUUUUUUAUAAGAUGUUCUGUAAUUUUCAUCAAAACAGAAGAAAGUGCGAUUGGGCGAUAGGCAGAAUGGUCUGAAGAACACCUAUUAGGUUUCAGUACGGGAAUUAUUUCUUGACGUUUCCACGUGAAGGGGAUGUUACCAGAUGUCACUAUGGAAUUUAUAAGAGAUAAAUAAUAAAAUAAAGCAUCAUCAUCUAAAUGAGAGAUAAAGGAAUACGGAAUACCGUCCAGUCCAGGAGCAGAAUCCUUAACAUGAGACAAUACACCUUUUAGUUCAGUGAGAGAAAAUAUACUGUUUAAACCAAAACAGUUAUCAUUAUUUAUAUUUAUUACAGGGUAACCAAUUAUUAAGUCUUCAGGAACGAAAGGUGGAGCCAAUUUAUCUAAAAAGCUAUUAACUAAAUGAAAAGGGAUUGAUUUUGGAGAUGAAUCUUUGUAUGCAGAUCUAAACCUUCUUAUAUUUUGCCAUACAAGAGAUGGUUUGACAUCAGCAUAUUUUCUUCUCUUUACUGCCUCUGUACAUUCGUUAUCCCACCAAGGAGGAGAAGGAAUAAAACCCAAAGAGCUAUUUUUACUUGGAAAUAUCUCAUUGGCAACCUCAAUAAAGAUUCUUGCUAAAGAAUCUGCACACUGAGAUUCUGUACCUGGAUUAAUUUUUGGAAGUGUUGGAAAUGAUAAUAAUAGUGGGAAGUGAUCACUACCAAAAGUAGAUCGUAAUGGAUCCCAGGACAAAGAAGAAGCAAGAUUAGGUGUAGUGACUGUUAAAUCUGGAGCACUUGGGCCCUCGUCAGGAUGAGAACGUCGUGUAGGACGACCAUCAUUUAAUAUACACAAAUUCACUGAAUCAAAUAUAUCUAUUAAUGUGUUACCAUAACUAUUAGAAGAUAAGUAACCCCAGGAUUCAUGGCGACAGUUAAAAUCACCAAGGAUCAUAAAAGGCUUCGGAAGAAUGGAAAUAAUAUCUUUAAUUUCAUUUAAGAUUGCAGAAGAAGGAUGAGGUAUAUAAAUAGAUACAUAACAGAUAUUUUCAACUAAAGCAGCAAUAAUAGAAAAAUCAUUACUGUGAGAAGGAAUAGAGAAGAGAGAAAAGGAAAGAGGGUGUUUCACAAGCAUGGCUACUCCGCCAUGCCCAUCCACACGAUCUUCUCUGAGACAUGAAUAACCUCGAAUCUUAAAUAAAGAUCCUGGUUUCAACCAUGUCUCUUGAAGAGCACAGAUAUAAGGUUUAUAUUUAUUUAAUAAAUAAAUAAGAUCACUUUUUUUAGGAGUGAUGCUUUGACAAUUCCAUUGAAGAACUUUGUCCAUUAUUUGGUUUAUAAAUUUGAGUAAUUGCAGAAACUAAUAAGGCAGCGUUGGACGGUGAAAAUUCAUUCGAUUGACUAAGAGAUUUUAUAAGAGAAAUAAUUAAAUCAAUUACUGAGGAUUCCAAA